AUUGAACGCUGGCGGCAGGCUUAACACAUGCAAGUCGAGCGGGGGAAGGUAGCUUGCUACCGGACCUAGCGGCGGACGGGUGAGUAAUGCUUAGGAAUCUGCCUAUUAGUGGGGGACAACAUCUCGAAAGGGAUGCUAAUACCGCAUACGUCCUACGGGAGAAAGCAGGGGAUCUUCGGACCUUGCGCUAAUAGAUGAGCCUAAGUCGGAUUAGCUAGUUGGUGGGGUAAAGGCCUACCAAGGCGACGAUCUGUAGCGGGUCUGAGAGGAUGAUCCGCCACACUGGGACUGAGACACGGCCCAGACUCCUACGGGAGGCAGCAGUGGGGAAUAUUGGACAAUGGGGGGAACCCUGAUCCAGCCAUGCCGCGUGUGCGAAGAAGGCCUUAUGGUUGUAAAGCACUUUAAGCGAGGAGGAGGCUACUUUAGUUAAUACCUAGAGAUAGUGGACGUUACUCGCUGAAUAAGCACCGGCUAACUCUGUGCCAGCCGCCGCCGUAA
rnacentral:rRNA from 1 species